UACGUAGGGUGCAAGCGUUGUCCGGAAUUAUUGGGCGUAAAGAGCUCGUAGGCGGUCUGUCGCGUCUGCUGUGAAAACUCAGGGCUUAACCCUGAGCUUGCAGUGGGUACGGGCAGACUAGAGUGCGGUAGGGGAGACUGGAAUUCCUGGUGUAGCGGUGAAAUGCGCAGAUAUCAGGAGGAACACCGAUGGCGAAGGCAGCUCGCUGGGACGGUACUGACGCUGGAGGCGACGAAAGCGUGGGGAGCAAACAGG
rnacentral:rRNA from 1 species